GAACUGCGAUAAGUAAUGUGAAUUGCAGAAUUCAGUGAAUCAUCGAGUCUUUGAACGCACAUUGCGCCCCCUGGCAUUCCGGGGGGCAUGCCUGUCCGAGCGUCAUUGCUGCCCUUCAAGCCCGGCUUGUGUGUUGGGUCGUCGUCCCCUCCGGGGGACGGGCCCGAAAGGCAGCGGCGGCACCGCGUCCUGUCCUCGAGCGUAUGGGGCUUUGUCACCCGCUCGAUAAGGACCGGCCGGGCGCCAGCCGGCGUCUCCAACCUUUUUUUCUCAGGUUGACCUCGGAUCAGGUAGGGAUACCCGCUGAACUUAAGC
rnacentral:misc_RNA from 1 species